AAUGACGCGCGAAGAAUUUAGAGUUUAAAGUGAGUAUAAUUUGAUGUUUCUAGAAUAAAUACUUAUUGUGUUUAACGCAAAUCAUUAUUGUUUUUAAAAAAAUGAUAAAUUUUAUGUGUACCUAUUUACGAAUCCAAUUUUACAAUGACAAUAUGAAUUUUGCAAAACAAAAAAAAUAUGUUUAGUUAAAAAAAUAAUUUUUUCUAAAAUUUCGUCGUCGUCCGGUAUGGUCUAGUGGCUAGGAUACCUGGCUCUCACCCAGGAGGCUCGGGUUCGAUUCCCGGUUCCGGAAUAAAUUUUUUUUCCGAUUUUUCAUUCUAUUAUAUUUCUCAUAUAUUUUAAAUUUGAGCGGAGUAGGAAAUUUAUUGAUUUUACAAUGGUGUUUAUUAUUUUUCUGUGAAAA